GCUGGGGUGGUGAAACUGGCAGACACGCAGCGUUUAGGGCGCUGUGAGCUUUACGCUCUUGCGGGUUCGACUCCCGCCCCCAGCA
rnacentral:tRNA from 1 species